GACGAACGCUGGCGGCGCGCUUUAUACAUGCAAGUCGAACGUGAAGCUCGGAGCUUGCUCCGGGUGGAAAGUGGCGAACGGGUGAGUAUCACGUGAGAAACCUGCCCCGAAGACCGGGAUAACACCGGGAAACCGGUGCUAAUACCGGAUGCCCUCACCGGAUCGCAUGGUCUGGUGAGGAAAUGGAUUCCGCUUCGGGAUGGUCUCGCGGCCUAUCAGCUUGUUGGUGGGGUAAUGGCCCACCAAGGCUUCGACGGGUAGCUGGUCUGAGAGGAUGUCCAGCCACACUGGGACUGAGACACGGCCCAGACUCCUACGGGAGGCAGCAGUAGGGAAUCUUGCACAAUGGACGAAAGCCUGACGCAGCGACGCCGCGUGAGGGAUGAC
rnacentral:rRNA from 1 species